GACGUAGGGCGCAAGCGUUUGUCCGGAUUCAUUGGGCGUAAAGAGCUCGUAGGCGGCUUGUUGCGUCGACUGUGAAAGCCCGCAGCUCAACUGUGGGUCUGCAGUCGAUACGGGCAGGCUAGAGUUCGGUAGGGGGAGACUGGAAUUCCUGGUGUAGCGGUGAAAUGCGCAGAUAUCAGGAGGAACACCGGUGGCGAAGGCGGGGUCUCUGGGCCGAUACUGACGCUGAGGAGCGAAAAGCGUGGGGGGAGCGAAACAGGG
rnacentral:rRNA from 1 species